ACCGUGAGCUUAUUAGCAGUAUUUGUUAUGUUGGGAGCGAGUUGAGAGACACAAAUGAAGAAGACGACAUCGCUAGUCGCGUGCUCGGUGAUCUUCGCGGCCGCACUAAUCGUUUUGGCUCUCCACGUUGAGCCUGUGCAAGCAGGGUCGAGGACGAUGCCCUCACCUCCACCUCCAUCUGGACAUAUACCCCCUCAGCCCGUCCAUGGCCGACCGUCGCCGCCGCCUCACCAUGGACACGGUUUACUAGCUGCUCCAAACGACGUCUAGGCCCAUCUACAAUCCGGAUUAUUCCAGCAUUAGCGUCAUUCCACAGUGCUGUACCUUGCUCUGUUUUUUUUUGGUUGAGUUUGAUCUAAUAAUUUCAAAACAAUUCGUGCUUGACAGCUAUACUUGCGAUAUCAGUUUGUAAAGAAGUCUGAUGGAUCCUUUCGACCAACGGUUUCGUGCUUCACAAACGAUUUUAUUAUGCUAGUUAUUAAUUGGUGACAAUAAA